rnacentral:misc_RNA from 1 species
AUUAUUUUUUGUUUUUUAUUGAAAUUGAGGGAAAAUCACUAAAAUAUAGUGAUAAUUUUAGGGACUAACAGUAACAUUAAAUCCCAAUAGGCCAAUACAUACAGCAGUCUCCUGUGGAAUAAUUUCUCCUAGAGUAACUACGAAUACUUUUUUUAGCCAUCAUAAACGUCCAAGCCGAGAUUAGUUUUAGAAAUUGAACCUGUAAUGUUAAUCUCCUACCGAAAGUCUUCUUAGGAUCUACUCAUUUAAUAUUUCUGAGGAGGGACGAUUCCGGGUUUUCAAUAGCUAGUUGAAAAAUCUCUGCAAAUACGUAACUGUAUCAUACUAUGGUGGGACCAAAAACAGAGUCAAACCUGGGCAGACCAAAUAGAACUUCAAUUCGCCAAAUUAUACGAGGCAUCUUGCUCAUAGGCUCAUCGCGGAUGCCCUGGCCCCCGGUAGACUUCGACCGUUAAUAAAUUGAGGCAAAGCUACUGGUAACUUGAGAUGCCAAUUAGGUCCAAAAAAUGCACCUCAAAAGCAUUAAAAAAAUAAUGCUUCUUCCCACCAGAAAAGAUAUACAAUUUAUUUUCAAGAAUGAAAGCCGCAAUCGCGAGAGAAUAUAAUUUACUAACCAGCAAGGUUAUAAUUGUAAACACAUACAGUUGAUAAUGCUAAUAUGGGAGUGGAGAAAGAGAAAGAAUUACAUGCAUAAUUUCAUAAGCUUCUAUUAUUUUAUCAUAAAGGAGUACCAAACAUGCUAUCCAACUUUCAAUCCAUCACCAUAUGCAACAAAAGAAGCAAAGACCAGCAUUCCAUCAACCAACCCACUGCCUAAAACCAAACUUCCCCAGUUACAAGAAACACAUAAGAACUAAAAGGCAUGCAGGUUGUCGGCACCAUCCUCUACAUACAAACAAAGGCUUAGGCCUCAGCAAAUCUGCAAAACAGUGUACACAGGAUAAGCCAAAUGAAAGUUAACCUAAAAGUAAUAGCACAAUGCAGUCAAGGCAAAUGAGGUAGAAACUGUAAAAUCAAGAACUGAAGUUACCCCAGCUCUGAGAGCUUCAAAUGGGCCUCAGCAUAAUCAACAAAGAAUGCAUCUUCAUCCUGCACGGGGAAAUAGAAACAGUAUCAGCAACCAGCAAUUAGCAAUUAUCAAAUGUUAGAUUUUUAACAUUAUCAUCACUUCAAUUUCGUUUUAAGAACAAAGAUGCAUACAGCAGCAUAUUUUUCAACAUAUUGGCGGAAGACGGGAUCAGCAAUAAGAGCCUUGUCACUUGGCAAUUGUAGAAGGCCUUCUUUCUCUCCAGUCAAUAGCUCCCUAACAACAUUAAAGAAUGCACAGCAUCAGUUACUACCUUAAUUAUAAACACAACACAAUUUUUCUAGUUACUAAGGGCCUCUUUGGCAUUGCUGUUGAAACUGUUGUUGAGAAAAUCACGUUUUUUAAAUAAACUAGUUAAAGAGUUUUAAAAAAUAAUUAAAAAUUAAAU